UGUGCCAAAAAUAGGCCACGGGCAAAGUCGCACCCAAAUAUAACCUCCCGAAGGCCGGGGCUCCAUGUUCGUCCAGCGGAAAAAGGCCACAAAAACGGGUGGGCUAUAGCCUUGGGGGGGUGGGGCAGACCAACUUCGUCGGCCGGAUUCGGAAUGCCGCGACACUUUGCGAGGGGCUUCCACGUGCCAAGAAUAGGCGGCGGUCGAAGCCGCACCCAAAAAUAACCGCCCAAAGGCGGGGGCGCCAAGUUCGUCCAGCGGAAAAAGGCAACAAAAACGGGUGGGAUAUAGCUUGGGGGGUGGGGCUGGCCAACUUCGUCCGCCGGACUCGGAAUGCCGCGAGACUUUGCGAGGGGCCUCCGUGUGUGAAAAAUAGGCCGUGGACAAAGCCACGCCCACAAAUAACUGCCCGAAGGCCGGGGCGCCAAGUCAUCCAGCGGAAAAAAGCCACAAAAACGGGUGGGCUAUAGCCUUGGAGGGUGGGGCUGGCCAACUUCGUCCGCCGGACUCAGAAUGCCGCGAGACUUUCCGAGGGGCCUCCGUGUACCAAAAAUAGGCCGCGGGCAAAGCCGCGCCCAAAUAUAACCGCCCGAAGGCCGGGGCGCCAAGUUCAUCCAGCGGAAAAAGGCCACAAAAACGGGUGGGCUAUAGCCUUGGGGGGUGGGGCUGGCCAACUUCGUCCGCCGGACUCGGAAUGGAGCGAGACCUUCCGAGGUGCCUCCGUGUGCCAAAAAUAGGCCGCGGGCACAGCAGUGCUCAAAAAUACCCGCCCGAAGGCCGGGGCGCCAAGUUCGUAUAGCGGAAAAAGGCCACAAAAACGGGUGGGCUAUAACCUUGGGGGGUGGGGAUGGCCAACUUCGUCCGCCGGACUCGGAAUGGCGCGAGACUUUGCGAGGCUCCUCCGUGUGCCAAAAAAUAGGCCGCGGGCACAGCCGCCCCUAAAAAUAACCCCCCAAAGGCCGGGGUCCCCAAUUUCUUCCAGCGAAAAAAGGCCACAAAAACGGGGGGGUUAUACCCUUGGGGGGUGGGGCUGGCCAACUUCGUCCGCCGGACUC
rnacentral:lncRNA from 1 species